rnacentral:rRNA from 1 species
ACAUGCAAGUCGAACGCAGUAGCAAUACUGAGUGGCAAACGGGUGAGUAUAAUGUGGGAAUCUGCCUUUUGGUUUGGAAUAACACGGGGAAACUUGUGCUAAUACCGAAUAAGCCUUUACAGGGAAAGUUUUAAUGCCGAAAGAUGAGCCCGCACUUGAUUAGCUAGUUGGUAAGGUAAAAGCUUACCAAGGCAACGAUCAAUAGCUGUUCUUAGAGGAAGACCAGCCACAUUGGGACUGAGACACGGCCCAGACUCCUACGGGAGGCAGCAGUGGGGAAUCUUGCACAAUGGGGGAAACCCUGAUGCAGCGAUGCCGCGUGAGUGAAGAAGGCCUUUGGGUUGUAAAACUCUUUCGUCGGGGAAGAAAAUGACUGUACCCGAAUAAGAAGGUCCGGCUAACUUCGUGCCAGCAGCCGCGGUAAUACGAAGGGACCUAGCGUAGUUCGGAAUUACUGGGCUUAAAGAGCUCGUAGGUGGUUAAAAAAGUUGAUGGUGAAAUCCCAAGGCUCAACCUUGGAACUGCCAUCAAAACUUUUUAGCUAGAGUGUGAUAGAGGUAAGUGGAAUUUCUAGUGUAGAGGUGAAAUUCGUAGAUAUUAGAAAGAACACCAAAUGCGAAGGCAACUUACUGGGUCACUACUGACACUGAGGAGCGAAAGCAUGGGUAGCGAAGAGGAUUAGAUACCCUCGUAGUCCAUGCCGUAAACGAUGAGUGCUAGACGUUGGAGAUAUAUUUUUCAGUGUCGCAGCGAAAGCAUUAAGCACUCCGCCUGGGGAGUACGA